rnacentral:ncRNA from 2 species
CCGUUCUCAUUGGGGAGCCCUGUCACUGAAACGGGCUGAGAUUGCAAACGCAAAACCCACUGAACCUGAUCCAGUUAGCACUGGCGUAGGAAUUGAGACAAGUCAUACG